rnacentral:rRNA from 1 species
AUGAAAGAACACUUUGAUGUUCACAACGUGAGUGGAAUUGACCUCUCCGAGAGAUCACUUCGGUCCCGAUGGUCGACAAUCAACUCGGAUUGUCAAAGGUGGGCGGCCUGUCAAAAGGCGGUUGACAAGUUGAACCCAAGUGGCACAAAUGAGGACGAUAGAGUAAGUGAAGAGGAGAGGAAAACCAAGAAGGGGAAGAUCAAGAAAGGAAGGGUCUUUACCUUGCCCCAUUGCUAUAACGUGUUGAAGGAUGAUGAGAAAUGGAAGAAGCGUGAAGAUUUGGAUGAUUUGCAUUUGAGCAACAAACGCAAGCGAACAAUUGAGUUGGAUGAUGAUGAUGAGGAGGAUGAUGAUGAGGAGGAUGAUGCAUCAAGUGAUGCCGUCAAGAGAAGCCCCACACCCAACUCGGUUUCAUACUCGAAGCCAAAGCGACCGGAUGGGUGCAAGAAAGACAAAACCGAAAAGAAGAAGAGGAAAGGAGAUGAUGAGCUCAAAAAUGCUAUGGAAGCUAUUGUGAAGGCAAGAAAAGAAGCCAACGAGGUGAGGAAAAUGGCAAGGAACCAAGAUGCCGCGGCCGAGGAGAGGAGUGGAGGAGAGGAAGGUGAGCAAUGA